CCUGGUUUUAUGGCUAGCUAAACCUCUUCUCUGUAUGACAGUAGCAUGAACUUCCAUUACAUUGACAACGAUGUGUGAACAAAACAAUCAGACAUAAUAGGUUAAACUUUAAAAAAAAGUAGGGACUCAUAAGAACUGUUGUAAUCUUAAUUACUUUAAAAGCAAACAAAUUUGAAACAAAGAAGCACAAAAGGCAUAUAGAAAAAUAGUAAAUUUAUAAAAAGGACCAUGUAAUUGAUGUGCAUGUCAACACCGAUGAACAGACUUACCACAGAGUAAAAAAGAACACGUAAAACAAAAAAAAAACAAAAAAAACAAA
rnacentral:lncRNA from 1 species